UACGUAGGGUGCGAGCGUUAAUCGGAAUUACUGGGCGUAAAGCGUGCGCAGGCGGUGAUGUAAGACAGAUGUGAAAUCCCCGGGCUCAACCUGGGAACUGCAUUUGUGACUGCAUCGCUGGAGUGUGGCAGAGGGGGGUGGAAUUCCGCGUGUAGCAGUGAAAUGCGUAGAGAUGCGGAGGAACACCGAUGGCGAAGGCAGCCCCCCUGGGCUAACACUGACGCUCAGGCACGAAAGCGUGGGGAGCAAACAGG
rnacentral:rRNA from 1 species